UACCAGCACCCCGAGUGGUCGGGACGAUUAUUGGGCCUAAAGCAUCCGUAGCCGGUUUUACAAGUCCUCCGUUAAAUCCAACUGCUUAACAGAUGGGCUGCGGAGGAUACUAUGGAGCUAGGAGGCGGGAGAGGCAAGCGGUACUUAGUGGGUAGGGGUAAAAUCCGUUGAUCCAUUGAAGACCACCAGUGGCGAAGGCGGCUUGCCAGAACGCACUCGACGGUGAGGGAUGAAAGCUGGGGGAGCAAACCGG
rnacentral:rRNA from 1 species